UAAGUAGAAGAGUGAGUAGGGGAAGUGAAACUCGAUGGCUUAAAUUCAUGUACUUGGCUCUGUUCCCUUUUCAGACGUUAUUAAAAUGAGAGUAGAGGAAGUGUUUUUUUGUUUUGUUUUGUUUUUUAAGCACAAGCCUACUAGGAUGAAGAAAAUGAAACAGCAUUCAACAGAUUUUUGAAGACAGAUGUUGGAUGAAUGAGAGGCUAUUAACGGCUUUUGCAUCUCCACGUGGAUUAUGGUUUCUCUCUUUCAUCAACCCCUCUCUCCACGAUGUUUAUUCUCAGGAGUUAUUCCACCACUGUUAUCCUUCAGAGACCUGUCCUUUUUGGUGCUGGAGGAAAUUCUAGAGAAUAGAGGAUUAACUUCGUCAAAUGCUGCUGAAGAUCAAGAAGGAUGAGGACUGGAAUGGCCCCAUUGGAAUGAACAUCAUGGAAAACAUUGGAAUUUCAUCAGCAGCAAUUUUGAUGAUGUGGAAUAACUAGAAAUCAAUUUCACAUGAUUUGAGGAGUGAAUGCAAAAUCAGGAAGAAGAGACACAAAAAAACUCUGCCAAGAACCCCGAUUCAUUACAGAAAUAGGAUGCUAGCUGGGUGGGGGAGGGGGAUCAAGGGUUAAAAAAGACUUUUGUGUGUUUGUUUGUUUGAAGUGGGAACACACAACUAGAACUUCAUGGAGUAAGUGCCAACUCAAUAUUUUAACAGGAUUUAAGAUAAAGUUCCUUGUUUAGUUGAAUUGGAAAUCUGGAGUCAGUCAUUUAUUAUAACUCAAAGCCAUUUAUUUCACAAUUUUAUUCUCUAGUCUUAAAGUUCAACGGUAAGCAGAGACUUUUUCUAUUUUUCAUACCUAAUAACUAAAGUCUA